GGGGGUGGGACUGUGCCGACCACCUGCCUCCCCCGUGACCGGCCCCCCUCCCCUGGGAGCGACGGGGCUGUCCGCAGGCCGUUGCUCUUCCAGGGGCUGGUGACCGUCGAGGCGGCGGCUGUGAAGGUCGCUGCGUCGGGGGGGCCGAGCUGGAGCCCGCGCGGCCCUCCGCAGCGACGUCCUGCAGGAGAGCUACGAGACCGUGACCUCGCUGGGCUGUGUUCAUUAUGGAAGAUAUCUCGCUGCUGAGGGUGAGCAGGGAAUCUAGGGAGGGUCUUCUCCAAGACUGCGGCAUCCACCCUGGCCCUUAAGUGGCUUGCCUGUGUGAAGCAAUUGUCUCCCCCACUCCUCCCCAGUGAAGGCAGAGUGGCACGGGAAAGUUACCCUGAAUGGGGGAAGAGACAAAGCAGUUCUGCCAAAAAAGCUGUGGGAAUGGGUUGCCCAGUAUCUUCAGGAGAGAUUCAUGGAGAUCUCAGGUAGAUUCCAGUGAAGCGAGGGAGUCAAUCAUCACCCUGUUCCGCCACUCAGACUGGGCAUGUGGUGGUACACACAUCAUACAGACACAAGCCUGCUUUCUGCAACCCUCCUGCCCCCAAGAACUCACUUCAGCGAUUCCCAAAAUCAAACCCACUUACCAGGCGCCUCCUCUUCUGUUUGCGCUUCACCAAGCUCCGACAGCUGUGACUGGCUAGCUUCCUCCGGCGUAGAGAAGAACUCCUUUCUGCAUGCAUCUCUGACCUCUGACUCAUCAUCUGCCUCUGGGUCUCCCUCCCUCCAGUCACACAAAUGAGGGUCAUUCUUGUCAGUUGCCAGCCUCAUCCAAGAUUUCCUCCUCCUGGCUCGGUCCACUCUCGACUGGCAAGUGAGCCACCAAAGUAUCCACACUGGACUUCACAGUGGAGGUGGGGUCACCACCGAGUAUCACAUCCAGCUCUUUGAAGAACCGGGAGCUCAUGGGUGCAGCACCGGAGCGGCAGUUUGCCUCCCGCGCCAUGGAGUAGGCGUUCCACAGCUCCUUCACUUUCACCCUGGAUUGCAGUGUGUCCCAGUGAUGGCCCCUUUCUCUCAUGCAUCGUGAAAUCUGUCCAUACAUAUCCUAUGGCUGGAGAACAGCUGGGACUGGACAGCCUCCUCUCCCAAAAUGCUGAUGAGGUCCAGCAGCUCAGCAUUGCUCCAAGCGGGGGAUCGCCAGAUGCGUGGAGCAGGUGGGUCACCUGGAAAGAUGUGCUGAGACCACUGCAUGUGUCACCGAGCACACAGGAAGGGGACUUUCAAAAUUCCCAAGGAAUUUAAGGGGUGGGCUUCACAGUAGGUCACCUGCGGGCGGUGCAGUACACCUCAGGAGUUACACUGCAGAAAGCUGCUUUACUGAGCAGAAACUUGCCAGUGUAGACCAGGUGUAGAUGGCUUACAUAAGAACGCAAGGCUGGCCAUACGGGGUCAGACCAAUGGUCCUUCUAGCCCAGUGUGCUGCCUGAGAGGGACCAGUGCCAGAUGCGUCGGAGGGAACGAACAGAACAGGCUUGUUGACCUGCAAGGUGAAGGUCUGUCACCCUUACCUUUAACAUUAUUGUUGUUGAUUCCUACUUAUCCUAUCUUACCACACCUCCCCUGGGGUCUCUGGGCAAAUCAGGCGUGCACCGCUCCUUUGAUACAGACGUGUCCCAAUCCAGCUGAACUGAGGCAGACUUUCGGCCAAUGUCAGUUUGUAAAAGGCCUGCUUCACCCAGCAGGUUUCUCAAAGUAUCCGUUGCUGUGAACCGCACUUAGUGUGGAUGUGUGAACCCCAAAGAUAUCAAACAUAAAAGAAACACAAGGCCAGCUUUGGGGAGGUUUCCAGAGCCAGGCCUCAGGGUUUAACAGCUGUACUCAAAAGGCAAAAGGUCCUCAGCACCUAUAAAAAUAACUGGUUGAAAAAUUUAAAUGAAAUAAAAAAAACAAACAAACAAAAAAACCAACCCAGAAAAGCUCACAUCACACGUCCAUCACCAUUGUAGAUUUUGACAUCUCCUGCCUAAUGUGACAUCUUUGCUUUGCGGACAAGAGACCUGGGGAACUUCUCUGGAGUAGAAUUCUUCACCAACCACACAACAUAUCAGUAGUGAUAGUGAGGUAUAACUCCCCGAAAUAUGCCUUUUAUUUCUUUAAUCUGGUGGCACAGACUUAAAUUAGGGACUAAAUUCAGAUGCUGCUUAGAAUCCCUGUAAGACACCAAAUGUCAGGUAUCUAUUAAAAAUAGGUGUCUUUCUGCAGGUAUAUCCCAUUCCACGUGGAUUUCAUUUUCUACAUGUUUGCAGCAUCUCCCAGAGGUGAGCUGAACAGAAACGUCACUUCCAUUUUUCCCACCUCUACCUAGAUAGGGAUUGCAUUUCCCAAAUAAUAGGCAACAUGCAUCUGAUUAGAAAGGAGAUAUCUUCAGGAGCAACCUCCUGCGGGCCUGGAACACAACUGCUUUAGGAGCCAAGUGCAUGGGUAUUUUGCUUAGUUACAAGUCAUUUUACUAGGGAAUCCUCUUCCCAGCCCUUCAGAAAAAAUAUUAACUUAACCAAUUGAACAACAGGGGAUUGGGAUGGUGAUGGGGAAUAAGGGAAGCCCUCGGACUGACCCUAUCUUCUUCUGUUGUUACAGAGGGCAAAUGAGAUUUUCCCCUAUCCCUGCCCUGUUCCUGCUCUUUAUUAUAUUUCAAUAUAUUUUAAGUAAGGAAAACGGUAGUAAAAAUAUCUGCUCUCCAACACAACCUGAAGCAACAUCAGAGCAACUGGGAAUGAAACCAUUUGUUCCCGAAGGGGGAACCUGAUGACUAACAAUUGCUUUGAAAUGGGGGAACAGUAUAACCGUGAUGCUCAGGGUUUGUUUAGACUAGGAAAACUGAUGGAGUUUAGGUCAGGUCAAGGGGAAAGCCAAUGACAACCACGGCACCUGAGCUGCAUCUGCACUACAUCUAAAAUUGCCUUUUCACACCAAAAUCACUCACUUGAGCAGCCAACGCCACGUACAGUCCUAGUGGAUGUAAAGCACGGGUAGUUUUUGACUCAGUGAAGCUUGCUGCGACCAAACCUCUCUCCCUAUCAGGGAGCUGUUGAACAUUCCUGGCUUGCGGGACACACAUUCGUACGACUCAAAAGGAAAG